CUUUGCACUGUUACUCAGGACUUGUUCUUGGUAUGCUUUGUACUCUGAAGUAGUUGCCUG
rnacentral:sRNA from 1 species